UGGGGAGACAAUAACCCGACGGACCAGCUGCACGAACCAAAACAUGCUAAACAGUGCGCUAGGACUGGGACACGCUUCAAAGAAGUGGAGGGGAGGUAAAUGUGUUGUAAUCUCAUGAUUCUAAUAAUACUACAGAUAUCUGGAAUAUACAUUCAAAGGUAAUUCUAACAAAGAUAAUGUUUAAUGUAGCCUUAGAAAUGAAGUUUUCCGUUGUCUUUUUUCCUAUUUCCGUUGUGCUUUGUGUGCUUUUGCAGCGCUUUUCUUUUUGCAGCGUUUUUCUUUUUGCAGCGUUUUUCUUUUUGUUGCGUUUUUCUUUUUUGCAUGCAGCGUCUUUCUUUUUGCAGCGUUUUCCUUUUUGCAGCAUUUUUCUUUUUGCAAGUGUUUUCUGAAGUUGCAGUCCGUUUGGCCUCUCAGGGCCACCGUACCAUGAACAUGUGGUGAAAACUGAAAUGACAGAAAAUAAACUCCAUCUCAACAGGCAGAAGCAUAUUUACAUCAAUAAAGUGCAUUACUCUCACUAAAACAUUCAUGUUAGCAAAAUAUACAUUAAUAUCCAAAGCUAUCUGUAUGAACUGUCAUAUAAAGUAACUUAUGGCGUUCCAGCCUGAUAAUUCGGAGUAGAUGGCAUUUGAUUACAUCUCCAUACUGCCUUUAGCAUGAGAAGCCUGUUUCUCAGCAAAAGCGAGUGCUUGACCAAAACCGGAAGUGCUUGACCGGAACCGGAAGUGCCCCGCCAGAACAGCAAAUACAUUUUAGCGAUAUUUUCCUUUUAACUAAAACAUAUGUAAAGCAUGAAUUAUUCAUUUUAACAACACAUAUUAAUUUUUUAAUGGCAAAUCUUUUUAGAAUUAUUUACUUCAAACUUAUGAACCUAUUUAUUCAGAGAAAUGCCUUAAGGGCAACACAAUAUCAAAGUGAAGUUAUAGAAUAUUUAAUCCAUCUUAAAAUUUGAAUCAAAAAUAUAUAACUGAUUUUUUUUUCUUUUUUGAGAGUUUUGGGGAGUUUUUUAAUAUAAAGUUACAUGAGAUAGAGUUUUUUGUUAUUUCUAUUUCUGAUUUUUAUCAAUUACUGUCUUCCUCUAUUCAGAUUUGUGGAGUUUGUGUUUGAGCUGUUUUGCAAUCCCGGAUUGCGUAAGGGCAACAAGUAAUGUCAAAAAGCUCUACCUAAAAUUUUGAUACCCACUCAUGUAAAUGUGGUUUGCAUAUACUCAGACAACAACACAGUUUUUCUACUGUUGCUCCUAUGCACCACCACAGUGGAUUUUAAUACAUUUAAAAAACAGCAUUACCA
ensembl:lncRNA